AGACAGUGGAGAAGAUAUCCAGUGUUCAAGUCCCAGUGGAGUUUACUGGCUCAAUCCUAAUCCAUUUUCUCACUGCUGUCCCAGCCUACCUGCUAAAGGUGGUUCAUGGUAUGUGGAUGCUCAGUCAGCACCUGUGGUGCUGGACUGCUGUUGAACUGAGACCACUGUUUAUCAGUGGGAGAUGAUGUCUGCUUGGAGAAGACCCUCCAAGGUAGUUCCUAGAGUCCUGUGACACAGGGCAGGGUAGUUUAUACAGCCAGAUCAUUCAGAGGUGAGACAGGGCCUCUGAGUCCCAUAGAUCCCCUUGACAUUUUGUUUCUACCUGCUGUGAUUGUUUAAGGAAUAAGAAAAAAAGAUCAUCUUCCAAGUGUGGGGGGUGUGUGUGUGUCCAGAAGGAAUGAGCUGACUCUCUACUAACAAUCCUUUGACAUCCCAGUGUUUACCAGAAGAGGAACUAGUUCAUUCAAAGAAUCAGACUUUAGCUCUAGAGGAACAACUGCUUUGGGCUCUUCUCAGGCCUGACACAAAUACUUUGCCUGUUGUCCUGUACUGCUGUGACUGCAGAGAGUGUGUGUCCUUUCUCAUCCAGAGAGAAGGGGUUGUGUGGGGCCUUUGUGGCUAUUUCCCAUUUACCUUCUGAAAGGUUCUAUCCAUUUGAUAGAAAGGGUUGUCUGCUCCACUCCAGAUCCAGCUAAGUGCCUGAAGUUUAAUGAUACAUGAAGAGAAAGGUAGAUGCUACAUCUGUGAUCAGUCAGCUCUACAACAUGUAUACUCCAUACUGGAAACUAUACAGCUCAUGAUAUACAAAGCACAGGCUUUUCCCUUGGUCUUAAUGCAGAUAUCAAAGUACACCUGUAGACUCUGGGGUACAACCUGCAGGUGAAUUCUGUCUCAGUACUGCAGUGGAUUGAUUUAAAUGGUUCCACUUCCAGACAAAAGUCUAAGCACCACAGCAGGUUUAUGGGUUAACCUAAUACAAAGAAACACAAUUAUCUGGUCUAAUAUAUUAGGAGGGACUCUUAGAUACAUGUAGUACCAACAUAAGUCAGUGUCUGCCAUUAUAAAUUGCAGGCCCUCCAAAUGCAUGUUAUUGCUGAAAAAAAGGAAAAAAACCAGGAACCUGGGAGUAGCAUUCAUCAAACUACUUUGCAUUAUUAAACUUCCUCCCGUAAUGUCUCCACUUUGAUCCCUUCUCUGGCCAGAUUCACAUCUCAGCUCCUGAUUUCCACCAAGGAAAGUGUAUAGGGAAGCUGUGUGCCUGCAGUUUUCUUUUUCUAAGCUUUGUAGCGCGUUCUUGUGCUCUCAAUUCCGGAUAAUGCUGGACUCCUUUUAUCCAGCCCCUCCUCUUGCCCUUUCAAGUGAAAAGAAGACUCCUGUGCCCCCCCAUCAAAGUUAAAGGGAGGCUUUAGGGAGGAAGGCUCAGCACGCUGGGGCUCUUGAGCCUGUGUUUAAUCUCUUUCCCCGUUCCUGUGUGCCUCUGUGGCUUCCCUGCCAGUUUCUUUGUUGCCAAGUUUCUCAUUUCCUUUUAUUUGUGUGUGCGGGAGGUUGCCAGGCUCUCUGGAAUGCAUCUGAAGUCAUCUGGUGGGGACACGCCUCAGCCGCGGCCCGGGUGAUCCCUGAGCGGGCAGGCCGGAGCGGCCUCACCCGGCCGCAGGAGCCGGGCCGGCACAGAUCCACAGCCUGCAGCCGGAUGAGUUGCUGUAGGAUGGCAGAGCAGAAGGAAAGCACAUCAUCUAACCACUCUGAUUCUCCCCUGCUGCUGCUUGGCAUCCACACAUACUGUGUAUUGCAAGAGAAAAGCAGGACCUGGAAGCAAUCUGCUGAGGGUUUCAGAUUCUCUGUUCCUCUCUUCCAGUCCAUUAGGUCAGAAAGAGAAUGACUAUCAACAAGUGUUUCAUCUGGAAGCAUAGCCCUGGGAUUUCCCUAGAUUUUUACCCCAGCUUGAAUUUAAGACCAGUUUCCAGCUAUCAGUCAUUCUUGACUGAACUUAUAUUCUGAUUUUCCAGAGCUGAUUUCCACUGCCUGCUUCCUGCUCCCCUUAUAACGCCUCCUUUGCAUUUGGGGUGUGGUUUGUCAGGUCCCAGUACAGGAGAUGUUCCCACUUGUGCUGGGUACUGCUGCAUGGACACAACAUGGCUCUAAACUAUGAUACAGUUAUUGCUUGAAAAGCAAGGAGUUUUUUGCAGGGAAUUGGCCUGAAACUGCUUCUGAUCAACAUUUUAGAGACAGUGACAAUAAAAUGAAAAACUGCCAGAGAGGAUGCAAACUGGAAGAAGGUUGCUAGUUCUUUGGAGAUCAAGGUUGCUACUCAAAACAUUUCAGUUGGUAUGCUGGAGAAAUAAACUAAAUUUAGCAGGGGGAAGCAGUCUCUGCGUGGUCCUCUGCCGAUUGCAUCGGGAAAGUCAUUAAAAAGAAUUAAAAAGGAAACAGAAAGAGAUGGAAGAGGGGGAAAAAAAAAAACCCUACACAGCCCCAAACAUUUAUAAACUUGAACAAAAGAACAACAGGAUCUCUCUGCUCAAAGCCCUGGGCCACCUUCACCUUGACUGCAAAGGACUCCAGUGAUGUACUGGGAGAAUGGAAGAAAGCCUUGACUGUAUUUCUGCUGGGAUGGUGGUGAUAUGGUCACCACCAUGGCAGGACUGGUUGUGAAAGCUGUCAUCUGAUUGUUCAGAUGGGGAAAAAUAUAUAUAUAUAUAUAUAUAUACAGAAUGAAAUUAAUUACACAUGGUUGACUCAUCCAUCUUCUGAAAUUGGGUGUGGCUUGGUAUCCUGGUUUUUGGAAAGGGAACAAUAUGUGAGAUACCAUCCUGGGGGGCAGUGUCUGUCCUCCAUUUUGCUGUAGGAAAGUAUCAGUGUCUGUUAGAAACUGUUCUGGGGAGCAAAAGAAUGGGAUGGAGCACCUGGUUCCUCCUGUCCUGUCUCCCAGGAGGAUCUGUCUUCCAAGGUUAUGGUGUUGUGACUGGUCUGGGAAGAUCUGGUUUAUAAUCCAAAUUUGGUACCAUAAUGGUUUUCCCCAAAUAGUUGCUUAAAUUUUAAGUCUGUAUUGAGAUAUAGAAGUCUAGGCUCUUUCAGAGGCCAGCCACUCAUUUGUUCUGAAUCAUGACUAGACAUGGCAAAUCACCUUUAAAGGGCUUGAUAUUUGAGUUCUGGAUGAGUGCUUGCAACCUGGAGCCUGUAAAACUCUGUGGAGAGUUGUCCCAAGAUCCUCACCAUCUUUACUCCCUCAGCUUCAGCUUCAGUGCCAGUCUGUGCCUGCCUGAACAUGUCCUUUUAGGACUCUGGGGCAAAGGCAGAAAUUUUAAGAUAGCAGGGAGGUAAUUUUUGCUGCAGUGAGAGUGGCCUGUAGGCUGGGGACAGAGAUGGUGAUGGGAGAGGCUGGCAGAGAUUAGUUGAAGAAUCUCAUUCUGAAGCCCUACGGGCCACACACUUGCCUGGGUCUGACACAGUCACUGGUUCAGGUUCCUUCUCAAACCAUCACACAAACAGCAGCAUUUCCCCUGGGUUUAUUUCUGCAUGCUUCAGAUGAGUUGGAUUUUCUCACCCAAAGAUUGGCCUCAGGAAAGCUUCUGGACCAUUUUCCUAUUAGCCCUCCUUGUUAGACUCUCACUGAGGUAGUUUGUAGCUGCAGAUGUUCCUGUGCAUCGGUUACCAAGGCUUAGGCUACAACUGUUGCAGAAAUCCUUAAAUCUAGCACAGUGGAUCCCCGUGAACAUUGCGGAUUUGUUCAUUUAUGUCUCACCUGGUGUAGCACAAGCUGAGGCAGAACUCAAAAAGGCCAACACUGGGGAGGUUUGGAUCAUAUACUGAAAUGGGUUUAGCAGCUGCGCAAAGUAGAGUUUUCAUUGGUGGUGCCCUUAAUAGCUUGCAUUACCUUAUUUAUAUGUAUAUUCUGGAAUCUACUGUCUAUUAAUAUGGGUCUCUGCAUUUAUACGAUUAGCUGUAUUCUUCUAGGUGUAACAGUGUCUGUGCUGUUAAAACUUGCAGGUUUAUCUUCAUACAGAUUACCAAUAUUGGUGUAAAAUGCUAGCACUUUGAUGUACUUACAGCUGAUUUCUUGUUCACUGGCUGAUCCUGUGGAAAUACCUUGUUCCCAGAUAAGGUCAGGUGUCUCAGAGAGGAGCAGUUCCAAGGCUGUUCAGCAGGCUGGUAGCAUGAAGGUAGCUCUAAGGACAUCGUGUUGCCUGUGGUUGUCUCUCGUUGCCAGCUGGGAUAGCUCUUGGAGCUGGUGUUAAGUCAGUGCUUCUGACUGUGGAUAGCUAAUGCUUCUGGCUUGCCAUAAUGCUAUUCUGAAAUUCCACCUCCUGGAUCUGGACUUGAUCCAACUCACCCAAGUAUUUACACAUGCAACACCCACAUCUAGCUGUCAUGGUCCCAUUCUCUGCUGCAAU